UCUUAAUCUCAUUUAGCAUUUCAGAAAAUCACCUGGGUAGAACAAAAUGAAACCUUAGAAUACUCCUAUUCCUCACUCCCCAACCAAGCCACACGUCCCAUAAUAACACUACUUUACUAUUUAUUGUUCUUACUAUAUUAUUAAUUUUUAUUAUAUGUUUUGCUAUCGAUUUUGUGCUCCUGGGAUGGAGUCAGAGGUGAGAAGCCUGGGAAGCUGAGGAAGAGUGGAGGCAGCUGCAGGUGUGGGGAGCAGAGUUCCCACAGCUGCCCUGUCUGGAGUGCUAGGCUGGAGGGGAGGAGCACUGGGGAACGAUCAGACCCAAAAAAUGAGCUGAGAGCUGGCUGGGAGCAGCUGUGGGUGAGAGUGAUUGUGAGGCUCUUGGUAAAAUGAUUAAUUAGCUGAUACACUGCUGGGGAAGAAGCCUGGGCUGUUGGAGCACUUUGAUGUGGCUCAUGGCUGGUUCUGAGGAGAUGGAGACACUGGGAUUUGCUGCUGUUCUGAGUUACUUCCAGAACUGUCUCAUAGGAGUCAUGUUACCCAGGAGAAGAUUUUUGCUUCAGAGUACCUGUGGGUGGAAUCGUGUGGCUUAGAAUUUGCUGCUGUAAUCUUCUCCUCACCCCUUCCUGUGAUGAGGAGUGAUAGAAUGGCUUAGUGAGCACCUGGAGUCCAGCCAAGGUCAACUCCCCACAGUGUGAGGAUAAGAAAAACAUGCACAGAGGGAAAUGUUCCCUGUCUGUGCAAGUAGGAUACUUCCAAGGUAAGAUUUUCUGGGUUAGUGGUGUGGUCAAGGAAAGAGUUU
rnacentral:lncRNA from 13 species